rnacentral:lncRNA from 1 species
CUUGGAAGAUCUUUCCUUGCCGCUUCCAGCUUCCAGGUCUGCUACCCAGAUGUGCCACCUCAUCUCUGGUUCUGAGAUGGCGCUGUCUUCCCUCUGUGUCUCUGCCUCCGUUUGCCGGUCUGGUAAGAGCUUUGAGUUGGAUCAGGCUGGUGCUAAUUGAGUCCAACCUUGGUUUAACAGAUUGGACAAAAAGACCCCCGAUUUCCAAAUGAGGUCGCCUGUACAGGCAGUGUGGGUUGGGACAACAGUGUGUCUUUUGGCGGAUGUAACAACCAACAGAAGGGCGCAGCGGGAUGACAGACCCAUGAGAUAGGCUCUUAGCAGCAUAAACCUGUGGCCAAGUGUCCAGCUGUCUGCAAGGCAGGCUUGGGGGACAUAGUGCUUUGAAUGCCUGGGCAUGACCAGAAUGCAUUGCUGGGUGGUGAUUUUGUCUUUUCCGAAGAGAGACGAGGGUUUUCUGGAACCUGUUCCCCAUCGGCAGCCUUGACUACUGGUGACGCAGCUCCACUCUUCCACCCGUCAGCGCCUGUCACUAGGAAGUUCUUGGGCACACUUCCAACAGCAUUCACUUCUGUGCUCCAGGAAAACAGGCGGUGAAACCACUGAGCUAAAUCCCUGGCCCCACAAACCUGUUUUAAUGUGUGUUGGGAAAAACUACAAACACAUGAAACCGCAGACAUCAACUUGCCCUGGAAAAGUACAGUCAUGAGCUGCUGGGAAGUGUGUGCCUAGGCGAUCUCGCCAUCCUUCGAGCUGCACAGAGCUCCCUCUCGAAGACAGACGUGGCCAGGACAUCACCGGGCAUAGACUCAGGACCACUGUUGCCCACACAGCCCACUGUUGGCCAGAACAUCUUCACAAAGCGUGGCUGGAUCGGAGCUGAUGGUGUCACGUGUCGCAAG